CCUGCAGGUAAAAAAUAAAUCUAUUGAUGCCAUGUGGCUUCUACAGGGCUCCAGCUUUCAUGCAAACAAGACAUGCCUUGAGAGAAAAUUUCACCUAUGUCUGGAAUGCCCCACAGCACAUUGUAAGAAGCUCUAUGAUGUUAUUAUAAACCUUUGUUGGUUUAAAGUUGUUGUAAACCGCAGUGUGAUUUUUUACUGGAUCCUAAGUUAAUUAAGUGUUAUCAUAAUGAACUUAGUGGUUGUUGAUUUCAUCAUAUGUAAAAAACAUAUCUAACUGGGAGACGUCACAAAGUUUACUGUCAUUGAGUGGAAAGAAUGAAAUCCCCAAUUACAUAUGAAUUUGGAGAUAUAUAUAGACAUAUAUAUCUGUAUAUAUGUCUCUAUACACACACCACACACACACACGUGUGUGUUUAGAACAAUGUUAAUUGGUUCACAUUUUAGUUGAAGAACAUGCAUAACAAAAAGCUAAACCACAUCUUUUUCACCUUUGACACUGUCCUGGGCGGAAUUGAAAGUGAGGCCCACAGAACUCUGAAUGCUAUUGGCAAAAUGAUGUCCCUUUCCCAAUACUUCUCACUACAGAAUAUCUAAGAUACCAAUGACAAGUAGGAGGCUGUAAUUGGAACUGAUGACUUACCUCCCUUUAGGACUCCAUGAGAAUGCAUUCCAUCAUACCUUUAACACAUAAAGCCCAAACUCCCAGGUUAUUUUUAUCACUUGUAUUUUCAUCUAUACCCUGUCAUGGAGCCAAAUUCACAUCCCUCCCUGACCUGACAAACCUGUCCAUUAUAUCCUCUGUAAUUUAAAAUCUGUAGUCAAGAAAAUCCCCUAGAUCAUACAUCUCUUUUUCUGAAUGGUCACUUAACUUUCUUGAUAUAACAGAAAACUGGCUGUCUUCUGCUUCCCCUGCAGCAUUCUUUUUAAGUUUAUUCUUUAAUUAUGGUAAAGUAAACAUACAAUCAACUUACCAUUUUAAUGAUUUUUCAAAUGUACAGUUCAGUGAUAUUAAGUACAUUCACAUUGUUGUACAAUCAUCUCCACUGUCUACCUCCUGGACUUGUUUCCCUGAAGCCCUCUUGAUUGAUGGUUAUUUUCUCUCUCACCUGUCACCUCCCAUUGGACAGGGAAGGAGCAGGUGUCCCCUCAUUACUGUUUGGGACCAUUGCCCUUCCAUUCGCUACUUAUUGGACAACCCCAAUUUACUGAAGCGUAUGGCAUCAGUUUAAACUGAACAUCAGGCCAAACCACUCAGAGCUGCAUCUUCCACAGAUCGCUAGUUGCAAUGACCAGAUUUUAGCACUUUGGUCACUCGAUAUAGAGUUAAAUUCAAAGUUCAAUUUAAAAAAGUUAAUAUUUUUCUUUUUUCUUUGGCUUAAAUCCUUUGGGAACAUAUCUGUCAUGAGAGAAGGGAGGUAUGUUUUGCUUCUUCUCCAUUGUCUUUCUUCCAAAUACUAGGCUGCUGCUGGCUCCUUCAGGGUGGAAGAGGGGAUGGAGUGGCUUCAGGGAGAAGCAGGAAAUGUUUACUUGAGAAGUAUCAAUCUAUAAUUGAAUCUUUAAACCUGACUUUUGUCUUAUGAGGGCUUUCAUGGCAAAACAAGAGAAAAAGUUAAAAGACGAUGAGAAACUGGGAAAUACUUCAUGCUACUUAAUGGAACCACAUAAUAUAUUUCAUAAUAUAUUUCACAAACUCCUUAUUGAUCACAUAUGUAUGUUGUUUCUAGCUUUUCUCUAUUGCAAAUAUAGCUCCCAUGAACACAAUUUUGUCAAUGUUUUCCCAUUUAAAUCGAUUUUAUUUUUUAAAGAAUUUUUAAGUUCACAGCAAAACUGAGCAGAAAGAGUUUUCCUACCUCCCCCCACCCCGUCUCCACACAUGCACAGCCGCCCCCGCUGUCAGUAUCCCGCAUCAGAACGGUACAUUACAGUCGGUGAACGUAGAGGGAUGCAUCAUCAUCACCCAAAGUCUACAGUCUACAUUAGGGUUAACUCUUGAUGUUGUACAUUUUACAACAUCAGGGUUUUGAAAAAUGACAUGAAUCCACAAUUGUCGUAUCAUAUAGAAUAGUUUCACUGCCCUAGAAGUCCACGGAUUUUUUUUUUUUUUUUUCGGUACGCGGACCUCUCACUGUUGUGGCCUCUCCCGUUGUGGAGCAAGGCUCUGGACGCGCAGGCUCAGCGGCCAUGGCUCACGGGCCUAGCCGCUCCGCGGCAUGUGGGAUCUUCCCGGACCAGGGCACGAACCCGUGUCCCCUGCAUCGGCAGGCGGACUCUCAACCACUAUGACACCAGGGAAGCCCCACUGAUUUUUUUUUUUUACUGUCUCCGUUGCCUUUUCCAGCAGGUUAUAUACUGAGAAUACUUUUCAGAUUGGUUUCUUUCACUUAGUAAUAUGCACUUCAUGGCUUGAUAGCACAUUUCUUUUCAAGGCUGAAUAAUAUGCCAUUGUCUGAAUGUACCACAGUUUAUUCAUCCAUUCACCUGUUGAAGGGCCUCUUAGCGGCUUCCAACUUUUGGCAGUUAUGAUUAAAGCUGCAUUCUUGUGCAGGUUUUUGUGUGGACAUAAGUUUUUAAGUAAUUUGGGUAAAUACCAAGGAGCAAAAUUUCUCUAUCAAAUUGUAAGAGUAUAUUUAGCGUUGUAAAAAACUGGCAAACUGUCUUCCAAAUUAGCUGUUGCAUUUUGCAUAUCUUCUUUAGGGAGGUGUCUAUUCAGAUCUUUUCCCUUUUAAAAUCAGGUUGUUGGGUUUUAAGAGUUUUUGGUAGAUUUUGGAUAAUAAUCUUUUAUCAGAUAUGCUUUUUGCAAAUAUUCUCUCCCAGUCUUCAGCUUGUCUUUUCAUUCUCUUGAUAUCAUCUUUCACAGAGCAGAAGUCUUUAAUUUUCCCAAAGUCCAGCUGUUCAUUCAAUAAGUUUAGGAGGAAAAGAAACAUAGCACCAUGACAAAAAGUUGGAGGAUCUCAGAGGUCUCUAACCUGCCUCUCACUCAGACAUGGCUCUUUUCUUACCUGCUUUAGCACUUUUUGAUGGGGCUCUCCCCAUUCCAGAAGGAAAACUGCCCUAUGGGGACAGUAUUAAUCCCUGGAAAGUUCUUGAGUAUGUUGAGUCUACUCUGCCUCUGGAUAACUUCAUACCACUACUAGUUCUAAUUCUAACUUCUCGUGAAACACAGAAUAAAUCAAAUCCUUAUUUCAAAAGUCAGUUCUCCAGGUAUUUGAAGACACCAGUCAUGCCUACCAAAGUCUUCUCAAUAAGUUAUUCCUCAAGUAACAGAUCUCUCAAAUCAUGUCACUUUCUCAAAUCCUUUUGGGAAAAAGACUAGGUUAUAUUUAUUCAUUCAAAAAAUAUUUAUUGAGUUGCUACAGUAUGUCAGAUAAAAUAUGUUAUUAAUAAUAUUGAGUAGAAAAUAAUAAUAAUCCAUGCAGAUAGUUUGUCUUGAUAGAAAAUGAGAGAAUGAGAUGAGCCAUAUUUUAAUGAAAGUCUUUUUCAUAACUUUCCCAUUUUUUGGUACUUUUUGAUUUUGGAAGUAAAUUAUGGGCUAAAUAAAUGAGCUCUACUUCAGAAGACUAAAACUCUAGUAUUACCUGAAUAAUAGUAUAUUGAAGUGUUUUAAUACUAUCUUGUUGCUUUCCAUUUUUCACAUAUCAACAAAGAGUAUGGAUCUUUCUCAUUUAUUGUCUAAAUAACAUUUAUUAUGUUAUCAUAAUAUCAUUAUGUUCUUCAUAUUAUAAUUACAAAAUCACUUAAAACCAACUCUGCUGAAUAUUUUCUUUCCAGUGUCUCAAUUUAACUGAGAGACUUGAUUUUCAUUUAAUGAACAGAAUACUAGUUAGUAUAAUGGAAGAAUGAUUUUCUUUCUUGUUUCAUUACUUUGACAAAUUGUGAAACACAAGUACUAGUGUUAGUAGAGACUUCAUACAAUGCAGAGGAGCUUUGCUGUAGCAUGGCCACUUUCUCAUUCUGGCUUUUGAACACUUUGCCUUUCUACUGGAUCUCUGAUUCUCCACUCCUUGUAGGGAAGGAAAGAAUGCAGAUGGUCCGUCAAUCAUUCCCUCUGUCUUUCAUCUCUCCUUAUUUCCUGCUUCUUUACUCUUGGUCUAUAAUCAUGAAUGUAACCUCCUCUCUUUCUCAUCUUGGUGAAUUAUAAUCUAUUUAGUCACCCAACUUGAGAGUCACUUGGCUGCCUCCCCUCUCUUUCCAUUACCCAGUAGGUAACUAAAACUAAUCCAUCUUAAUUUCCAAAUAACUGUUCAGUCUGUCUCCUCUGCUUUACAAGGACUGACCUUGCCUUUGUUGAGGCCCUCAUCUUUUCUCACUGAACAGUUUCCAUCAUCUCCUAUUUGGGGUCCCUGCCUGCCAUCUUGACUUCCCCCUCCAAUAAGAUUUUUUGUGACAGCCAAAAAUACCUAUCAGAGUUGCAAAUGGGGACUUCCCGGGUGGCACAGUGGUUAAGAAUCUGCCUGCCAAUGCAGGGGACAUGGGUUCCAUCCCUGAUCUGGGAAGAUCCCACAUGCUGAGGAGCAACUAAGCCCGUGCGCCACAACUACUGAGCCUGUGCUGUAGAGCCCACGAGCCACAACUACUGAACCCAUGCACCACAACUACUGAAGCCCACACACCUAGAGCCUGUGCUCCACAACAAGAGAAGCCACCACAAUGAGAAGCUCACACACCACAAUGAAGAGUAGCCUCUGCUCGCCACAACUAGAGAAAGCCUGGGUGCAGCAACGAAGACCCAACACAGCCAAAAAUAAAUAAAUGAAAUAAAAUAAAUAAAUUUAUUUUUAAAAAGUUGCAAAUGUGUUGUCUUCCAGUACUAAAACUUUCUUGUAGCUAAACCCUAGGACUUUAAAAUAGCGUAAUAAAAUAAAAUAGCAUAAAAGACACUUGUAUUUGGAUCCUACUUAUAUACAAUGAUUCAGAUGCCUUUACUUCUCCCCAAGUCCCCUGUGCUUUUUACCGUAAGAGUUACUGGCACGUCUCUGGAUGGAUCAUGCUUUUUCGUACAUAUGAGCCUCUGCCAUUUUUCUUCCUUCUGGAUAUAAAACUCUGCUCUCUCUAGUCUAUUUUAUCAAUUUAUACUCAUUUCCAAAGACCCUUCUAAAAUUUCACCUCUUGAAGGAAGUCUUCCCAGACUUUUCCAUGCAGCAUUAAGCACUUCCUCUAAUCUAUAUAUAUCUUGUUGGUGCUAAUAUGUAAUUUAAUUUGUUACGCUGUAGUUAUAUAUGUCUGUCUCAAUCAUCACAGUAAAGCACUCCCUCAAGAACAGGAACUGGAAUCUAUUUCAUUUUUAUAUUCCUAGUGUCUAGAAUAUUGCCUGGAGCAUCAUAAAUAUUUAUCAGGAGGACUUAGUACAUGCAGUUGGUGAGAGUGCAGCAUUGGGGACGGCAGGAAUAAUAUUGUGGGGAGGAUAUGAAUAUUCUGAUUCAAAGCUGACUUUGGACAUGUUCAGUUGGUGGCCUGUCACACUACCUAAGUGAAAAUUCUGAAACCACAGUUUUUCCUCACUUCUAGGAGACCUGCUUGUCUGUGCAAAAAUUCAUUCAAGGGCCAUUGGACCGUUAUGCUGUUAAUGUGACAACAGCAGCCAAACUCUGCAAAGUCUAUGUCACAAUAAUGGAAGAUGUGUUCGAAAAGCACCUGAAUCCUCCUCCUAUCUGCAUAUGCCUGAAAGUAGCAGUAAGAAAUAUGCCCUAAGAGCUUGAGAGUCAUCAUUUCUCCAGCCAAUAAACUGAAGACGAUAAAGGACAUGAAGGAUGGGCUUGUGUGUCACUGCUGUCAUGGCUGGCAUGGAGAGUCUUGCCAGCAACGUUCUUUGGAUGUCCUGAGAGGGAAGGAUAAGCCUCCUAUGGCUAACUUUAAAUUAUCGGUUUCUCUGCAUGACCUUCUCUGCGAUUCUGUUGAUUUUUUUUACCCCCUACGACAACGUCAAUAUUUCCUUGAAAUACUGAAGGGUAGGAGAUGCUGAUUUUUUUUCUUUAACUUCAAUCUACUUCUAAAAUAUCUGUUGGCUUUAAAGUAAAAUAAAUAAAUAAAUAAAGGGUAUUCAUUGGCUCCAUAGAGCCAUUAGAUAGAGCAAUUAUUUAUUGGGUGCUUACUUCAUGCGAGGCACUAAGGAUAAGGAUGUGAAUGUACCGAAGUCUCUGUCCUUGGGGAGCUUAAAUUAUUGUGGGAAAAUGAACUAUAAUAAAUAAACAAAUACGUUUAUAUCAAAUGGUGCUAAGUGCAGUGGAGGCUGACAAAGCAGGGUAAAGGGAUUAGGGAGUGUGGGAGAGCUCUGGAAAUUACAUCUAAGGUCGUGAAAUGUGGCUCCCUAAUGAGAGGACCUGAAGGCAGGAGGCGCAGAUCACAGAUGUGUCUGAGAAGGGCAUUCUGGGAUUAGGGAAGAGCAAAUGCAAAAGUCGUUAAGUGGGAGCAGGUUUGGAGGGUUUCAGGGCCUCAAGAAGGCCACUGUGGCUGAUGCAGGAUGAAGAGUGAGCCAGGUCAUUAACUGACUCUAUCUGAACUAAGAGUUUGAGUGAAGGUAACUUUAAAAAAAUAAGAGAAAUUUCUGGAAGAAAAUGGGUCAAGUAAGAUGUAUCUACAUUUUAUUAUUUUUUUAAAAAAUAAAUAUACACUUAAAUUGGACAGCAACAGGAGCAUCUAUUAUGAUU